ACUGUCGAGGACCUUCUCCGUCAGCCAGGCAGAGAAGGUUUACCAGUCAUAGACCCCGACCGACCGGACAAAACUUUGUGGUUUGGGGUUGACAAUUGUCUUGCAUCAGACGUAAUUGACACGAUCAAAGGUUACUUCUCCAUGCCACAUCCGAACUGGAGAAAGACGCUGAUCUGCGUCAGAAAGACGUGGUUCAAAAUUUACGCUCAAAAAUAUCAUUGCUCCAUGGGGGUCACUGAGAGGGUGAGGAA